GUUUGUAUUUUUUUAAGGUGACCAUUGUUCUACUGAAUCAAGAUUUUUGCAACAAGAAAAGUAUUUGCAAAUGAUCAACGGCAAAUUGGAUAAUGUCAUAAGAAAGUUGGAUAUGUCAUAAGAAAGUUGGAUAUAUACUAUCUUAGCUUUCCAUGAUGAGGAAAUGCCGUUAACGCAUUCUUCUCCGGAUUUGUUACCUCUAUUUCCAUUAAAAUCUAAGGCAGAUUUUAAAACAUUUUGUGACAAUUUGGAAAAAGAGGAUUUACAAAAACAAUUUCAAAAAAGAAUUCGCAGUAUGGGUGGCAAAUCGGCAGAAAAUCACCUUCGCAACUGUUUAGUUACAACUCUAAGUAAUGAGCUAGCGAAAUAGUUAACCUGGGAAGGCCAGCGUCAGACGGUGAGAAUAAAAAGCACUGUCUUUGCAAAUAUUAUCAUAGACGCUAUUCUAAACAUGUACAGUAAAAGUGAUAUGUACAGUUUAAAGGAGAAAUUCUGCGAAUGGUUAAGAAGAGGAAGCGAUAGACAUCGUUAUGAAUUAAAGAAGUUGCUAUAAUACAACUAUUUCUUGCUUGGAGUUUUAAGAUGGAAAGCUGCAGCCCUAAUAUAACAAUGAACGAGAGAAAAACGCAGAAAUAAUGAAUAUGAAAAAAAGGGACCUUUUCAUCAUAAGGGACAUUGACGAAAAAGGAGGCAUAUUGAUAUAGUCCCAGUAAGCAAAAUGUUAGCAGUCUGCCAGCAGCAUGCGAGCAGAUUCAAACAGAAUAUUGCGGCAGAUUGGCAUCAACUGCGUCCGCAUUAAGCUUGGGUUCUGCUAGCAGAAUCUGUCAGCAUAAACCGACAGCAGAUUGUUAGCAGAAAUCGAGCAGAAUCUGCGCAUGCAAUUUGAUGUUAGAUUGUCAGCAGAAACCGAGCAGAAUCUGCGCAUGCAACCUGAUGGCAAAUUGACAGCAGAAACUGCACAUAAUUUGCGCUUACUUUUAUUAAUGUUAUAUAAAU